rnacentral:rRNA from 1 species
GACUAACGCUGGCGGCAUGCAUCAUACAUGCAAGUCGAACGGACUAGGUUGUAGCAAUACGAUCUAGUUAGUGGCGAACGGGUGAGUAACACGUAGGUAACCUGCCCUUGAGAUCGGGAUAACAUGCCGAAAGGCGUGCUAAUACCGGAUAUGACCACAGACCCGCAUGGGUUCGGGGUAAAAGGAAUGGCCGCAAGGCUAUCGCUUGAGGAUUGGCCUGCGGGCUAUCAGCUAGUUGGUGGGGUAACGGAUCACCAAGGCUAUGACGGCUAGCCGGCCUGAGAGAGUGAACGGCCACACUGGAACUGAGACACGGUCCAGACUCCUACGGGAGGCAGCAGUAGGGAAUCUUCCGCAAUGGGCGAAAGCCUGACGGAGCAAUGCCGCGUGAGUGAUGAAGGCCUUCGGGUCGUAAAGCUCUGUUGAGGGGGAAGAAAGGUAGUUCGGAUAAUACCCGAAUUGCCCUGACGGUACUCCUCGAGGAAGCCCCGGCUAAUUACGUGCCAGCAGCCGCCGUAA